rnacentral:rRNA from 1 species
GACGAACGCUGGCGGCGUGCUUAACACAUGCAAGUCGAACGGAAAGACCCUGCUUUUGUGGGGUGCUCGAGUGGCGAACGGGUGAGUAACACGUGAGUAACCUGCCCUUGACUUUGGGAUAACUUCAGGAAACUGGGGCUAAUACCGGAUAGGAGCUCCUGCUGCAUGGUGGGGGUUGGAAAGUUUCGGCGGUUGGGGAUGGACUCGCGGCUUAUCAGCUUGUUGGUGGGGUAGUGGCUUACCAAGGCUUUGACGGGUAGCCGGCCUGAGAGGGUGACCGGCCACAUUGGGAAUGAGAUACGGCCCAGACUCCUACGGGAGGCAGCAGUGGGGAAUAUUGCACAAUGGGCGGAAGCCUGAUGCAGCAACGCCGCGUGCGGGAUGACGGCCUUCGGGUUGUAAACCGCUUUCGCCUGUGACGAAGCGUGAGUGACGGUAAUGGGUAAAGAAGCACCGGCUAACUACGUG